rnacentral:misc_RNA from 1 species
GGAGGAUGAAGUGGGGAACCACAUUGGGACUGGAGAACAAUCACAAGCCGACGACAAUCUUGGUGGCAACAUCCUUGAGUCAUCGUCCCACUGUAAUAGUCGUCCUAUUAAUGACAUUGUACAGAUUGGUGAGGUGGACGUUGUAGAUGCUGGGCGCGAAGAAAGUGUGGCUCUUUCUCCUAGUGAUGGCAGGCGCAACUCCCCUUUUGUCAACUCCCAAUCCGAGGAUCCCCUUGCAUAUUUACCAGUUUUUGGGCGUAAUACAGAGAACCUCGUGCUGUCUCCACUUAACCUAGGAAAUUUAGAAUUCUGCAGCCUGAAUCAUAGCCCAACUUCCUCCUUAUCUUUGGAACCAAAUCCUCUAGCCCUUGUUCCCUACAAAAACCCAGCCCAUAUUCCCCCUACAACCUGGUCUAAGAAGUUGCUUAAGCUUUCUGGGAUUUCCAAACAAAGAAGGAAAUGUAAAUUGAUCAAUGAUCUAAUGGAAUCUUGCCCCAAGUUGUAUGAAGGGGGUAAAAGAAGAAAGGAGAGGAAG